GUUAGCGGCGGACGGGUGAGUAACACGUGGGUAACCUGCCCAUAAGACUGGGAUAACUCCGGGAAACCGGGGCUAAUACCGGAUAACAUUUUGAACUGCAUGGUUCGAAAUUGAAAGGCGGCUUCCGCUGUCACUUAUGGAUGGACCCGCGUCGCAUUAGCUAGUUGGUGAGGUAACGGCUCACCAAGGCAACGAUGCGUAGCCGACCUGAGAGGGUGAUCGGCCACACUGGGACUGAGACACGGCCCAGACUCCUACGGGAGGCAGCAGUAGGGAAUCUUCCGCAAUGGACGAAAGUCUGACGGAGCAACGCCGCGUGAGUGAUGAAGGCUUUCGGGUCGUAAAACUCUGUUGUUAGGGAAGAACAAGUGCUAGUUGAAUAAGCUGGCACCUUGACGGUACCUAACCAGAAAGCCACGGCUAACUACGUGCCAGCAGCCGCGGUAAUACGUAGGUGGCAAGCGUUAUCCGGAAUUAUUGGGCGUAAAGCGCGCGCAGGUGGUUUCUUAAGUCUGAUGUGAAAGCCCACGGCU
rnacentral:rRNA from 1 species